CCUACGGGUGGCAGCAGUGAGGAAUAUUGGUCAAUGGGCGUGAGCCUGAACCAGCCAAGUAGCGUGAAGGAUGAAUGAUCUACGGGUCGUAAACUUCUUUUAUAAGGGAAUAAAGUGAGGGACGUGUGCCUUUUUGUAUGUACUUUAUGAAUAAGGAUCGGCUAACUCCGUGCCAGCAGCCGCGGUAAUACGGAGGAUCCGAGCGUUAUCCGGAUUUAUUGGGUUUAAAGGGUGCGUAGGUGGGUUCUUAAGUCAGUGGUGAAAGUUUGUGGCUCAACCGUAGAAUUGCAGUUGAUACUGGCAGCCUUGAGUACAGUUGAGGCAGGCGGAAUGCGUGGUGUAGCGGUGAAAUGCUUAGAUAUCACGAAGAACUCCGAUUGCGAAGGCAGCUUACUAAGCCGCCACUGACAUUGAUGCUCGAAAGUGUGGGUAUCGAACAGGAUUAGAUACCCGUGUAGUC
rnacentral:rRNA from 1 species